rnacentral:rRNA from 1 species
AUACCGGAUACGAAGACAGCAUCGCAUGGUGGUGUUUUGUAAAGAUGGCCUCUAUUUAUAAGCUAUCGUCCGGGGGAUGGGCCUGCGUCCGAUUAGCUGGUUGGUGGGGUAACGGCCCCACCAAGGCGACGAUCGGUAGCCGGUCUGAGAGGAUGAACGGCCACAUUGGGACUGAGACACGGCCCAGACUCCUACGGGAGGCAGCAGUGGGGAAUCUUCCGCAAUGGGCGCAAGCCUGACGGAGCAACGCCGCGUGGGUGAGGAAGUCCUUCGGGACGUAAAGCCCUGUUGUUUAUGACGAACGGUUUUCCUGUGAACAAUGGGAAGGAAUGACGGUAAUAGACGAGGAAGCCACGGCUAACUACGUGCC